CCCCGCCGCCUCGACCUCGCAGUGGUAGCGGAGCGAGCGAAGGGCCGUUGGGGCGAGACUCCAGAGCAGGGGAACUACCAUUGCAAGCCUGAAUUCAUUCAUCCAACAGAUACUGAAUGAUGAUCUGCACAUCAGAAAAGGCCACACAGUGAGGGGCAUUUAUAAAAAGGAUCCACUUCCUGGCUACAAAUCAUAACUGCUCUUAGCUGUGACCCCAAGACUGCACACAGUGAUGCCCUCAGUUCCAGAAGAGCUGGGAGCAUUUUGGGGAAGAGAAUCCACUGCUUUCAACAGAGUCUCAAAGGAAAUUGUGAACUCAUCCAGGGCGGACACCACGAUUCCAAUAUAGCUCCAGCAACUAGUCACGCUCGAAGAAUUCUAGCAUUCCUGAGGAAAUCCAGCCACAUCCCUGACUGGUAGACAACCUCGAGACCAGCCCACGACAUGUGCCCCAUUCUCCAGCUUCACAGGGCUACGUGCUACUGCCACAGGUGCUUCCCAAAGCCAGGAAAAAUGUUCAGAGAUAUAUAUUUUUUUCCCCACAGUAACAAGGCAGUCUCAACUUAAGUCCUACAAAGAAUCCUUCAGAAGCCCGAAAUCCCUUUGGAUAGGACUUCAUUAAUCCUCAAGUGGCCUUCUGGUUUUUGGACUCAGUCACUCACCCACGGAGGGAUCCUCUCUGCCCCUGGCCUACACUGCUUUGGGCACCAGCUUGCUUCAUAAAAGUUCUAGGCUGCCCCUGAGCCUCCACAAGUGCUCCUGAGCACGCCCUGGGCACACCGGCAAGUUCUCAGCCGCCAGAACCAAGAAGCUGGUAACCUUAUUGUGGGACAACACACUGAAGGCUCAUACUAUAAUACCAGUAUUUGUGACCUGGAUUUUCUGGGAUCCCCAGUGAAGGUGUGAUACAAUAAAUGACGGACAAGUCAUCUAUAAUGAAGGAUGGCCAGGUGACCACAAUAAACUCUGAUGCUGUGGUCUUCAA